rnacentral:rRNA from 1 species
UCUUAGUAAUGGCGAAUGAAAGGAGAUGUGCUUAGUGUCAAAAUCAGAUUACUCUGACUUGUAGGCUGUAGGGGCUUUGCCAACUUGGGUGCAGGUGCAAGUCUCUUGGAAAGGAGCACCAGUGAGGGUCAAGGUCCCGUCUGGCAUCUGUCAUCCCUUGUAGACGGUUUGCCCAUUGAGAGUCGUGUUCUUCUGGAGUAGAGCGCCAAUUGGGUGGUACUCUUUGCCCAAGGAGGAUUACGUGCUUGAGACCAAUAGUGAACAAGUACCAUGAGGGAAGGGUGAAAAGGACUUUGGAAAGAGGGUUAAGAGGGCAUGAAGCUGCUGGAAGGGAAGUGGAUUGGACUUUUACACCGCUGUAAGAUUGCAGGCUGCGAUUCUCACUUUGUGGGCAUUGCUUGCUGUGUCUCUUGCUGCUCGGUUGGGUUUUGCGUUGUGCCCAGAAUCUCAGCUUUGACUGGCAGAAGGGUUGCGACCUGGACCAUGUCUUUGCUUACUUUUGGUGCAGCAUUCAACCUUGACCAAAAGGUUCAAUUUUACCCGUCUUGAAACACGGACCAAGGAGUCUAUUGCGUGUGCAAGUGCAAGGGUUUCACACCUGACAGCUCAACAAAGGUGACUGCUGGGACUUCUGCACCAGCAACCAACUGAUCGCUUGGGAGAUGUUUGUGUAUGAGCACACUUGCUAGGACCCGAAAGGUGGUGAACUAUGCCUGAGAAGGGUGACGUCAGGGGAAACUCUGAUGGAAGCUCGUAGCGCUACUGACGUGCAAAUCGUUCGUCUGACUUGGGUAUAGGG